rnacentral:lncRNA from 1 species
GUUAAAGUGUAUAGAGUUUGGCAUUUGGGGUUUAGGCUUUAGGGAUCGGUGAUAACACACAUUCAUUUGUAAGUUUAUCUUAAGAUGUAUGUAGUUUGAGUUUGAGUUUAGGAUUAAAGGGUUUAAGAAUUAGUAUUAUACACAAACAUUUUAUAAAUAUAUAUGUUUAAAGUGUAUAAAGAUUGAGAUUUGGGGUUUAUGUUUUAGGGUUUAGGGAUUGGUGAUGAUAUAUAUGUUAUUGAUUUUUAACUAUAUUUUUUUAUAACUAUCAAUUGAUAAAUAUAAUAACUAUGGCAACAACUUAUCUC